rnacentral:misc_RNA from 1 species
GAUGAAGAACGCAGCGAAAUGCGAUAACUAAUGUGAAUUGCAGAAUUCAGUGAAUCAUCGAGUCUUUGAACGCACAUUGCGCCCCCUGGUAUUCCGGGGGGCAUGCCUGUCCGAGCGUCAUUGCUGCCCUCAAGCACGGCUUGUGUGUUGGGCUCCGUCCCCCCGCGGACGGGCCCGAAAGGCAGCGGCGGCACCGAGUCCGGUCCUCGAGCGUAUGGGGCUUUGUCACCCGCUCUGUAGGCCCGGCCGGCGCCAGCCGACAACCCAUCAUCCUUUUCAGGUUGACCUCGGAUCAGGUAGGGAUACCCGCUGAACUUAAGCAUAUCAAUAAGCGGAGGA